CCUGCCCCUAGGGGUGUUGCAGGUGUGGCAGCUGUGUCACAUCACAUCAGCAGGUGGCAGAGAGGAGAAAGGCUAUGGCUAAGUUGAGUGUUCUGACCUGUGAAUGGCUGAGUGGUUAAUAGCCUAACAUU